UUGAAGAGUUUGAUCAUGGCUCAGAUUGAACGCUGGCGGCAGGCCUAACACAUGCAAGUCGAACGGUAACAGGAAGAAGCUUGCUUCUUUGCUGACGAGUGGCGGACGGGUGAGUAAUGUCUGGGAAACUGCCUGAUGGAGGGGGAUAACUACUGGAAACGGUAGCUAAUACCGCAUAACGUCGCAAGACCAAAGAGGGGGACCUUCGGGCCUCUUGCCAUCGGAUGUGCCCAGAUGGGAUUAGCUUGUUGGUGGGGUAACGGCUCACCAAGGCGACGAUCCCUAGCUGGUCUGAGAGGAUGACCAGCCACACUGGAACUGAGACACGGUCCAGACUCCUACGGGAGGCAGCAGUGGGGAAUAUUGCACAAUGGGCGCAAGCCUGAUGCAGCCAUGCCGCGUGUAUGAAGAAGACCUUCGGGUUGUAAAGUACUUUCAGCGGGGAGGAAGGGAGUAAAGUUAAUACCUUUGCUCAUUGACGUUACCCGCAGAAGAAGCACCGGCUAACUCCGUGCCAGCAGCCGCGGUAAUACGGAGGGUGCAAGCGUUAAUCGGAAUUACUGGGCGUAAAGCGCACGCAGGCGGUUUGUUAAGUCAGAUGUGAAAUCCCCGGGCUCAACCUGGGAACUGCAUCUGAUACUGGCAAGCUUGAGUCUCGUAGAGGGGGGUAGAAUUCCAGGUGUAGCGGUGAAAUGCGUAGAGAUCUGGAGGAAUACCGGUGGCGAAGGCGGCCCCCUGGACGAAGACUGACGCUCAGGUGCGAAAGCGUGGGGAGCAAACAGGAUUAGAUACCCUGGUAGUCCACGCCGUAAACGAUGUCGACUUGGAGGUUGUGCCCUUGAGGCGUGGCUUCCGGAGCUAACGCGUUAAGUCGACCGCCUGGGGAGUACGGCCGCAAGGUUAAAACUCAAAUGAAUUGACGGGGGCCCGCACAAGCGGUGGAGCAUGUGGUUUAAUUCGAUGCAACGCGAAGAACCUUACCUGGUCUUGACAUCCACGGAAGUUUUCAGAGAUGAGAAUGUGCCUUCGGGAACCGUGAGACAGGUGCUGCAUGGCUGUCGUCAGCUCGUGUUGUGAAAUGUUGGGUUAAGUCCCGCAACGAGCGCAACCCUUAUCCUUUGUUGCCAGCGGUCCGGCCGGGAACUCAAAGGAGACUGCCAGUGAUAAACUGGAGGAAGGUGGGGAUGACGUCAAGUCAUCAUGGCCCUUACGACCAGGGCUACACACGUGCUACAAUGGCGCAUACAAAGAGAAGCGACCUCGCGAGAGCAAGCGGACCUCAUAAAGUGCGUCGUAGUCCGGAUUGGAGUCUGCAACUCGACUCCAUGAAGUCGGAAUCGCUAGUAAUCGUGGAUCAGAAUGCCACGGUGAAUACGUUCCCGGGCCUUGUACACACCGCCCGUCACACCAUGGGAGUGGGUUGCAAAAGAAGUAGGUAGCUUAACCUUCGGGAGGGCGCUUACCACUUUGUGAUUCAUGACUGGGGUGAAGUCGUAACAAGGUAACCGUAGGGGAACCUGCGGUUGGAUCACCUCCUU
rnacentral:rRNA from 1 species